rnacentral:rRNA from 1 species
AACGAACGCUGGCGGCAUGCCUAACACAUGCAAGUCGAACGAGACCUUCGGGUCUAGUGGCGCACGGGUGCGUAACGCGUGGUAACCUGCCCUUAGGUUCGGAAUAACUCCCCGAAAGGGGUGCUAAUACCGGAUAAUUUCUUCGGACCAAAGAUUUAUCGCCUUUGGAUGUGCCCGCGUUGGAUUAGCUUGUUGGUAGGGUAAAAGCAUCCCAAGGCGACGAUCCAUAGCUGGUCUGAGAGGAUGAUCAGCCACACUGGGACUGAGACACGGCCCAGACUCCUGCGGGAGGCAGCAGAGGGGAAUAUUGGACAAUGGGCGAGAGGCUGAUACGGCAAGGCCGCGAGAGUGAUGAAGGCCUUAGAGUUGGAAAGCUCUUUUACCCAGGAUGAUAAUGACAGUACCGGGAGAAUAAGCGCCGGCUAACUCCGUG